rnacentral:misc_RNA from 1 species
GGUUGGAUCAUUAAUUAUUAUUAUAAGUUGACCCCUCCGUAAUGGAGGUGUCAGAAAACGAUAGAUUUUGGGAGCUGUUUUGUAUGAGAACCAGUUCUGCUAAGCUGGCGACUGCUCAGUCUUUAGGGAUUGUAGCAAUCACUGGAAUAGGCGAAUUAGUUUGAAUUUUGAGCUGCCCUAUUAUUUAAAGUUAAUUUACUGCCAAGAGUAUAGUAUUGGUGGAGAAGAUCAGGUAGUACUUAUUUCGGUAAGUGCUCUGAUUAACUCCAGUAGUAUUGGAUUUGAAGUAGUAAAAAAAGAAACCACACUGUGCACUAUAACCAACUUUGGGUUUAAGAGUCAAUACCUUUGGGUAAAGAUUUUUAGGCCCAGCCAAUUUUAUACAAACCCUUUUAAUUUGACUGAAUUUUUUUAUUAUAUAAAAGAUAAACAACUUUUGACAACGGAUCUCUUGGCUCUCGCAACGAUGAAGAACGCAGCGAAAUGCGAUACGUAAUGUGAAUUGCAGAAUUCCGUGAAUCAUCGAAUCUUUGAACGCACAUUGCACUCUAUUUCGGUAGAGUAUGCCUGUUUGAGAAUCUAUAGUAAUUAUUCUUGAAAUUUUAUUGAUUUCAAGAGAUUUGGGACUUUUCUGUAUAGAAUGUUCUUAAAACUAUAGCUAAAGUUACUAUAGAAAUGUUUGACUACUCUAUUAAUUUUACCUAAAAGUAUUUGAAUGAAACCUAGUUUCUCCUUGUGCUGAUUAAGUAAAAUGGGUAUAGUUUUUAUAGGAAUUUUGGUUCAUAACUUAUAAAAGUUAGACCUUACAGUUUAACUUUGAACCAUGGUCUCAAAUCAGGUAGGAAGACCCGCUGAACUUAAGCAUAUCAAUAAGCGGAGGAAAAGAAACUAACAAGGAUUCCCCUAGUAACGGCGAGUGAAGCGGGAACAGCUCAAAUUUGAAAUCUCACUGUUUUGCAGUGCGAAUUGUAGUUUAGAGAAAUAUUUUCGGGGUUGACUGCUAGUACAAGUUCUUUGGAACGAGACAUCAUAGAGGGUGAAAAUCCCGUCUUUGACUAGUGGUUCAAUUCUAUGUGAUAUAUUUUCCAAGAGUCGGUUUGUUUGGGAAUGCAGACCAAAAUGGGUGGUAAAUACCAUCUAAAGCUAAAUAUUGGCGAGAGACCGAUAGCGAACAAGUACCGUGAGGGAAAGAUGAAAAGAACUUUGAAAAGAGAGUUAAACAGUACGUGAAAUUGUCAAAAGGGAAACGCUUGAAACCAGUAUUGUGGGCAGAAAUUCAGUUAUGGUUUACUAUGAUUUAUUUUUCUGUUUACGAGUCAACAUCAGUUUUUUUUGAAGUAAAAAGCUAUAGAAAGGUAGCCUUUCGGGGUGUUAUAGUCUAUAGUCAUGCUUUGGAAGAGACUGAGGACUGCAGCAUUUUUUGGAGAACCGGUCGCCUUUUAAACCAGUAAAGUUAAAUGCAUGCAGAUGACUUUGUCUAUAAGAAAGCUCGGUCGGUGUAUCACACCAAUGCUUAGGAUGUUGACGAAAUGGUUUUAAACGACCCGUCUUGAAACACGGACCAAGGAGUCUAACAUAUAUGCGAGUAUUUGGGUGGUAAACUCUUAUGCGUAGUGAAAGCGAAAAGGUGGGAUUCUUUAUUGAUGCACCAUCGGCCGCGCCAGAUUAUUACUAUCUCGGCGUGAGUAUGAGCAUACAUGUUGGGACCCGAAAGAUGGUGAACUAUGCCUGAAUAGGGUGAAGCCAGAGGAAACUCUGGUGGAGGCUCGUAGCGGUUUCUGACGUGCAAAUCGAUCGUCGAAUUUGGGUAUAGGGGCGAAAGACUAAUCGAACCAUCUAGUAGCUGGUUCCCUC